ACAUAUUUUAAGAGCGUGCCCACAUUAUACCUAAUUUUAGAAUCCAAUGAUAUCUAUAUGAUAUCGGUGCGACUGUAAAUUUGCGGAAGAAUGCGACGGCCGUGAGAUCGUUGAACGUUUCACACUCCGUUUUAUAGCUACACGACCAAGUCGUGCUACGUGUUCCUCAUCACUUAAAGUAAUAACAUGUGACCUAUGUAUUAUAAAAAUUAAUUAAGUAAUAAAAACAAAAAUAUUUAAUUUAAUUUAAAGUGCUGUGAUGUCGAUUUUAUUUAGUGCCGUUGCAUACAAAAAGCAAAUUUAUAAUAAAUAUGCGUCCUGCGAUGGAAAUUUCGAAGAAAUAUUGGAUGAGGUGCUCGUCAAAAUUUCGGAAAGAAAUAAUAAAAUGACUUACUACCACGGACGUUACUUAUUCCAUUUCAUUUUGGAGGACGAAUAUUUUUAUUUCUGUAUUACUGACAAGCUUUGUCAACGAUCAAGAGCUUUUUUAUUUUUAAACGAAAUAAAGCGAAGGUUUCCAUUCAAACAGGCAGAUUUUACGUGUAUUUUAGCUGAACAGAUGUAUCGUUACAAUGAAGAUUAUAACACAGUAACUAUAAGGAAAGGGGAAAUAGAUGAAUUAAAUACGAUAGGAGUGGACAGUAGUGAAAUCAUUCUUGGGGAAAAAAUACUCUUUGUCAGCAACGACAACAAUUUAAGAUAUACGACGAUCUCCAACAUAGAAAAAGAACCAGAACAAAUUGCGAUCUCUUUCAAAAAUUCAAAUUUAAAAAUAAUUAUUUUAACAAUAUUCAUAAUUGCGGCAAUAUCUUUGAUUUUCGUUUUUAAUCCACCGUCAUUUGCAUUCGUUAUUGUUGUACUGAUAUUGUAUCCUAUUAUAAGAAAGAACUUAUAUAAAUAAUUUAUAUUUAAUAAGUAGAAAAAAUAGGUU